rnacentral:misc_RNA from 1 species
GUAUUUAUGCGGUUAACGCAGGGUUUCAUUCUGAGACUUUUGUAAGGGUAUGUUAUAAGAUGCGGGCGGCUUUCGAAGGGCAAUCAAGCCCUGCUACUGGAACGCCACGCCAUGGUUCACAUGAGGGGUGGAUUGGAUGUCGAGUUUGAGAUGGGACGUUUUACGGACCCUCUCAAACUCUUCAUAUUUCUGUAAUGAUCCUUCCGCAGGUUCACCUACGGAAA